rnacentral:rRNA from 1 species
AUAGUCCGGGAUACCACUUGGAAACAGGUGCUAAUACCGGAUAAGAAAGCGGAUCGCAUGAUCAGCUUUUAAAAGGCGGCGUAAGCUGUCGCUAUGGGAUGGCCCCGCGGUGCAUUAGCUAGUUGGUAAGGUAAAGGCUUACCAAGGCGAUGAUGCAUAGCCGAGUUGAGAGACUGAUCGGCCACAUUGGGACUGAGACACGGCCCAAACUCCUACGGGAGGCAGCAGGC